rnacentral:misc_RNA from 1 species
GAAAUGCGAUAAGUAAUGUGAAUUGCAGAAUUAAGUGAAUCAUCGAAUCUUUGAACGCACCUUGCGCUCCUUGGUAUUCCUUGGAGCAUGCCUGUUUGAGUAUCAUGAAAUCUUCAAAGUAAAUCUUUUGUUAACUCAAUUGGUUUCUACUUUGGUAUUGGAGGUCUUUGCAGCUUCACACCUGCUCCUCUUUGUUCAUUAGCUGGAUCUCAGUGUUAUGCUUGGUUCCACUCGGCGUGAUAAGUUAUCUAUCGCUGAGGACACUGUAAAAGGUGGCCAAGGUAAAUGCAGAUGAACCGCUUCUAAUAGUCCAUUGACUUGGACAAUACUUUUAUGAUCUGAUCUCAAAUCAGGUAGGACUACCCGCUGAACUUAAGC